rnacentral:rRNA from 1 species
GGUUAAGCGACUAAGCGUACACGGUGGAUGCCCUGGCAGUCAGAGGCGAUGAAGGACGUGCUAAUCUGCGAAAAGCGCCGGCGAGGUGAUAUGAACCCUUGACCCGGCGAUGUCCGAAUGGGGAAACCCAGUGCAAUCCGUUGCACUAUCGUUAACUGAAUACAUAGGUUAACGAGGCGAACCGGGGGAACUGAAACAUCUAAGUACCCCGAGGAAAAGAAAUCAACCGAGAUUCCCCCAGUAGCGGCGAGCGAACGGGGAGCAGCCCGGAGUC